rnacentral:lncRNA from 1 species
CCACACGAAGCAGAAAUUGCAUAAGAACUUUCUGUUGCCGUAGAAAGAAUCGGUUGCAGAAAAAUGGGGGUUAAGAGCGAUAUAUGGUCCCAUGCCUACAAGGCAAGGCAAAGGGUCGAAAGAAAAUGAUCCUCACAUGCCAAAUGGGCCAUGACUCACAUGGAAGCUAAAAAUGCUAAAUCUUCCAUCUCUAUUUUGGUGAUAUCAUGUAACACCAUGAAAUAGGACUCAUCGCAUAAUCACCAUCAACAUUUAUUUCUUCUUCUUCUUCUUCUUCUUCUAAACAAGUUAGGGCUGGUGGUGGUGGUGGUCACUCUCUGGUGGUGGUGAUGGUGGUGGGUCAUUUUGGGCACCUCCACAUGCUUCUGCCGUUGCAGCUAGCUAGCUUCCUUCUAUCCUUCUUCUGCAGACCUGACCUUUCAGAAUAUAUAUAUCCGUUGUGGAAUUGAUGGUACUAAAUACCAAAGUAUGUUGCUAUCUGAAGGACUAGUUUUGUACUCAUGUAAAUGCAGUAAUGGUAUUGGGUAUUACAUUAGAUACAACCAUUUUUGCGCUAGAAACAAACCUAUCCUAUGACUUAAAGAUCUUUUGUUAAAACAACGAUAUUUUCUACCAGAUAACUGUCAUAUUAUGUUGUCAGAUUGCCAACUGGACCUAUCCACAUGAACUUCACCUUACAGUUCGAAAGCAUCUAAUGCAACUUCUUACAAUUAUUUUCACUUUUAACUUAGGCAUGCAUACCACGUUCAUGUUAUCCUGAAUCACAUCACGAUGGAGUCAACCUCACAAUUGAGCAAGGUUCUUGACAAAUUUGGUUCACACUUUAUGUACAGAAGAUAAAGUUUUGCCCUCUUUCGUAAUGUUUUACUUGUUGCAGUCCUUGUUUUUCAUAUAUCACUUGAUAGUUAUGGAGAAGAUAAGAUGAUUGUUCCUUGUGGUCUCCUGUUUCUGCUAAACAAUUACCAGAGGAAGUUGUGACAGUCAAGUAAUGAAUGAGUUGGUAACAUGAUGCUAAAGGUGAGGGAAAGGGUGAUGAUGAUUUAACAUGUUGGUUUGUUGGUUGGUUAAUGACUUGAUUUGUAUCAUGUGGUAUGUUGGGAGAGAGCACAUGGAGCAAUUAGAAAUGCCAGUAGAGAACCAAACAUUGAUGAUUGAUAGUUGAGCAUAAUGAUAUUUAGAGAGAACCCACUUGUAUUGCACAACCAAAAGUAAAAGAUUGCUUCCAUUGCCAUUUGCCAAAGAAGAAAAAAAGCUUAAUAAGUGAAAAGGUACAAAACAUCACUGCCAAUUGCUAUGCUCUCUCUCUAGAAGACUGUAAUGAAGUCCUUUCAUAACCCAAGUUUUGACAUUCAUAUCUCACACUAUUUGCUUGUAAGACUCUAGACAAAAGCAGAAACCCAGAAAACCAUUCAUAUCCUAUAAUAAGACCCCAAAUGUAUGCAGAUGAAAAAUACUGACACUGGGAGGGAAGAUAGACAAACAAGGACACACAAACUGUGGUUAGAAUAUGGUGGUGGUGGUGGUGGUAGAUAGGAUGAAACAGAGUAAGACCGAAAGAUAGGAUAUAAGGAAAAAAAAGAAAAACAUGAACAACACUUCUGCACCUGCUCCUAAAAUGGCAUUGUAUUUUUCAGAGGAAGCAGACCGAGGUUGAGCAAUGACAGAAUAGACAGUUUGGCGGGGGUGGGAGGGAAAUGGAUUCGGGUUCAGAUUUGGACUCGACAAUAUAGUGACAUGUGUAAAUAAUGUACACUUGCCAGAUUUUGAAGAAUAGAAAGAUGGGGUGAAGAAACCAAUUGGUGGAAUAUUUUGAAAUUGGGUAAUGUUCUAUAUAAGUGUAAAGCUGAGAAUGAGAUACUACGAGUACUAGCAGGUACGUCCUCUGCGGCAUCCAAGUGCACCAGCACCAGCAGUUAUGGUUCCCACCAUGGCCGAUGACUUGGCUCCCAAGCUUGAGGCCCUGGCAUAGACAGCUGACGCUCCAGCUCCAGAUGGAGUGAAGAAGGCACCAUUGAGUAGAAGAUCACCUUCUGACCUCCAGUUCCAGCCCCUCCACUGAGUUUGCGAUGUCUCCACUCUCUUGGUAACCUUCACAACGCGAUUUUUCACCAAUAAUCAGAAAACUUAGUAUGUAAACUUCGUCAUAAUCAAAAGGUAGAUGUGAGUAGCGAUUAAGACAAUACCUCCUUUGCAAAGGGGUUGGUUGGAGCUGCAUAUCUGUUGCCUUGGCUGUUGAUAGUGGGGUCUGCACUUCCACCGAUGGCAUACAUUUCCCAGUGAGUGUAGUCGUUGUUCACCACAUGGAAAUAUCCAUGUCUGCACCUGCAUUAUUCAUAGUUCAUAGCAGCAUUAACAAAUGCAACUCUGCUACCAAGGCAAAAUCCGAUUUCAAUAUUGAAUAAUGUCAUAAGUAGGGUUGCUGUUUCUUGCAGCCAAGUUUUAUGUCCAGAACUCAUCCUAAUUGAAAUCGACAUAUCAGACAUGGGAAGCUAAAUAUGCCGGUUCUAGUUGAAAAAUUACCUUGGCAUUCUCUGGAUAAGUCCCUCUCCAAAGUGGUUGUAGGCAAUAGUCACUUGCAUUUGCUUGUCCCUGGUAUAAGAAUCGCUGUGGCCCAACAGCAUUACCUGAUUCAAUUGCAUAGAUAAAAAUGUCAGUAUCACAACUAAAAUAUAGAUGGAAGUAAAUAUUAAUCGGGAAGAGGCAUUAGACAUACUUCAUUGUGGUGGGUAAGGUGGUUGUUGGAGAUGGUAAUAGCAGUUGACCCCAUGACAGCAUCAACAAGACCAUCAGCACAAUUGGAGAGGGAAUUGUGAUCAACCCAGAUAUGGCUUGACCCGAAGAUGGAGAUAGCAUCACCAUCAGCCAUUGUCCUCCAUCCAAAGUGAGAUGGGGAGCUCCUCACCAAAGCAUUUCCUGUGGGCUUGCA